rnacentral:rRNA from 1 species
ACCAUGAAUACUUAGUACGGCGAGUGAGCGGUAAAAGCUCAAAUUUGAAAUCUGGUACUUUCAGUGCCCGAGUUGUAAUUUGUAGAAUUUGUCUUUGAUUAGGUCCUUGUCUAUGUUCCUUGGAACAGGACGUCAUAGAGGGUGAGAAUCCCGUUUGGCGAGGAUACCUUUUCUCUGUAAGACUUUUUCGAAGAGUCGAGUUGUUUGGGAAUGCAGCUCAAAGUGGGUGGUAAAUUCCAUCUAAAGCUAAAUAUUGGCGAGAGACCGAUAGCGAACAAGUACAGUGAUGGAAAGAUGAAAAGAACUUUGAAAAGAGAGUGAAAAAGUACGUGAAAUUGUUGAAAGGGAAGGGCAUUUGAUCAGACAUGGUGUUUUUUGCAUGCACUCGCCUCUCGUGGGCUUGGGCCUCUCAAAAAUUUCACUGGGCCAACAUCAAUUCUGGCAGCAGGAUAAAUCAUUAAGAAUGUAGCUACUUCGGUAGUGUUAUAGCUUUUUGGAAUACUGUUAGCCGGGAUUGAGGACUGCGCUUCGGCAAGGAUGUUGGCAUAAUGGUUAAAUGCCGACCGUCUUGAACACCGGACC